rnacentral:rRNA from 1 species
GACGAAGGGGGGCUAGCGUUGUUCGGAAUUACUGGGCGUAAAGCGAGUGUAGGUGGUUGUCCAAGUUGGAUGUGAAAGCCUUGAGCUCAACUCAAGAAAUGCAUUCAGGACUGGGCGACUAGAGGACCGGAGAGGAUAGUGGAAUUCCCAGUGUAGUGGUGAAAAUACGUAAGAUAUUGGGAAGAAACACCAGUGGCGAAGGCGGCUAUCUGGACG